UGUUUUUUACCAGCACGACGAUUAUGACCUCAAUUAUUACCGAUAUUCUUAAUGUUGGGGCAGGCUGGUAAGCGAAAGUUUUCAAAAAAAGGCCUGUAUCCCACCAGAUACAGGCCUUUUUUUA
rfam:Vibrio rumoiensis 1S-45 1S-45_contig_92, whole genome shotgun sequence.